rnacentral:rRNA from 1 species
GACAGAGGGUGCAAGCGUUGUUCGGAAUUAUUGGGCGUAAAGCGCGUGUAGGCUGUUCUGUGUGUCAGAUGUGAAAUCCCCGGGCUCAACCCGGGACGUGCAUUUGAAACUGCAGGACUGGAGUGAGGGAGAGGGAAGCGGAAUUCCCGGUGUAGAAGUGAAAUUCGUAGAUAUCGGGAGGAACACCAGUGGCGAAGGCGGCUUCCUGGACCUCAACUGACGCUGAGACGCGAAAGCGUGGGUAGCAAACAGGAUUAGAUACCCUGGUAGUCCACGCCCUAAACGAUGAGAACUAGGUGUUGCGGGUGUUGACCCCCGCAGUGCCGCAGCUAACGCGAUAAGUUCUCCGCCUGGGAAGUACGGCCGCAAGGUUA